AAGUCGUAACAAGGUUUCCGUAGGUGAACCUGCGGAAGGAUCAUUAUUUGAUCUAGGGGGGCAUUUGCAAAAAUGCCGCCAAUUUGCAUUGUGAAUUGUCUUGUACUAGUGUUUUUAUUUUCUCUUUAGUUUAGCUCUCUCUUUGGAGAGAGAGCAAAAACCAAAUUAAAAGACAACUUUCAGCAAUGGAUCUCUUGGCUCUU
rnacentral:misc_RNA from 1 species